UACGUAGGGGGCAAGCGUUGUCCGGAAUCAUUGGGCGUAAAGAGCGCGUAGGCGGUCCGGUAAGUCGGUUGUGAAAACUGGGGGCUCAACCCUCAGAGGCCGACCGAUACUGUCGGGCUAGAGUCCGGAAGAGGCGAGUGGAAUUCCUGGUGUAGCGGUGAAAUGCGUAGAUAUCGGGAGGAACACCAGUGGCGAAGGCGACUACCUGGCCUGUUCUUGACGCUGAGGCGCGAAAGCGUGGGGAGCGAACAGG
rnacentral:rRNA from 1 species